rnacentral:rRNA from 1 species
CCUACGGGAGUCAGCAGUGGGGAAUCUUGCACAAUGGGCGAAAGCCUGACGCAGCAACGCCGCGUGAAGGAAGAAGGGUUUCGGCUCGUAAACUUCUAUCAACAGGGACGAAAGAAAUGACGGUACCUGACUAAUAAGCCACGGCUAACUACGUGCCAGCAGCCGCGGUAAUACGUAGGGGGCAAGCGUUAUCCGGAAUUACUGGGUGUAAAGGGUGAGUAGGCGGCAUGGUAAGCCAGAUGUGAAAGCCUUGGGCUUAACCCGGGGAUUGCAUUUGUAACUAUCAAGCUAGAGUGCAGGAGAGGAAAGCGGAAUUCCGAGUGUAGCGGUGAAAUGCGUAGAUAUAAGGAGGAACACCAGUGGCGAAGGCGGCUUUCUGGACUGAAACUGACGCUGAGGCACGAAAGCGUGGGGAGCGAACAGGAGUAGAUACCCGAGUAGUC